rnacentral:rRNA from 1 species
GACGAACGCUGGCGGCGUGCUUAACACAUGCAAGUCGAACGGAAAGGCCCUGCUUUUGUGGGUUGCUCGAGUGGCGAAAGGGGGAGUAACACGUGAGUAACCUGCCCUUUACUUUGGGAGAACUUCAGGAAACUGGGGCUAAUACCGGAUAGGAGCUCCUGCUGCAUGGUGGGGGUUGGAAAGUUUCGGCGGUUGAGGAUGGACUCGCGGCUUAUCAGCUUGUUGGUGGGGUAGUGGCUUACUAAGGCUUUGACGGGUAGCCGGCCUGAGAGGGUGACCGGCCACAUUGGGACUGAGAUACGGGCCAGACUGAUACGGGAGGCAGCAGUGGGGACCAUUCCGAGAUGGGCGGCAGCAUGAUGCAGCAACGCCGCGUGCGGGAUGACGGUCGUCGGUUUGUAACCCGCUUUCGCCUGUGACGAAGCGUGAGUGACGGUAAUGGGUAAAGAAGCAACGGCUAACUACGUG